GCCACCUUCACCAUCAGCCCUGUGACCUGUGGCCACAAUGGGACCUACAGGUGCUACAGCUCACACAGCUCCUCCCUCUUCCAGGUGUCACAGCCCAGUGACCCCCUGGAGCUCCUGGUCUCAGGGCUGUGGUGGGGUCCC